UACAGAGGGUGCGAGCGUUAAUCGGAAUUACUGGGCGUAAAGCGCGCGUAGGCGGCUUUGCAAGUCGGAUGUGAAAUCCCACGGCUCAACCGUGGAAGUGCAUCCGAAACUGCAUCGCUCGAGUCUCGGAGAGGAAGGUGGAAUGCUUGGUGUAGAGGUGAAAUUCGUAGAUAUCAAGCAGAACACCUGCGGCGAAGGCGGCCUUCUGGACGAUGACUGACGCUGAGACGCGAAAGCGUGGGGAGCAAACAGG
rnacentral:rRNA from 1 species